rnacentral:rRNA from 1 species
ACAUGCCAACAUCAUAGAAUUAAUGCACCACAUCCCAUUAGAACUCCGCAGUUAAGCGUGCUCAGGUUAGAGUAGUAUUGGGAUGGGUGACUGGCUGAGAAUUCCUAAUGUUUUACAUGCU